AGUGAACGCUGGCGGUAGGCCUGACACAUGCAAGUCGAACGGCAGCACAGUAAGAGCUUGCUCUUACGGGUGGCGAGUGGCGGACGGGUGAGGAAUACAUCGGAAUCUACUUUUUCGUGGGGGAUAACGUAGGGAAACUUACGCUAAUACCGCAUACGACCUACGGGUGAAAGCAGGGGAUCUUCGGACCCUGCGCGAUUGAAUGAGCCGAUGUCGGAUUAGCUAGUUGGCGGGGUAAAGGCCCACCAAGGCGACGAUCCGUAGCUGGUCUGAGAGGAUGAUCAGCCACACUGGAACUGAGACACGGUCCAGACUCCUACGGGAGGCAGCAGUGGGGAAUAUUGGACAAUGGGCGCAAGCCUGAUCCAGCCAUACCGCGUGGGUGAAGAAGGCCUUCGGGUUGUAAAGCCCUUUUGUUGGGAAAGAAAAGCAGCAGGUUAAUACCCCGCUGUUCUGACGGUACCCAAAGAAUAAGCACCGGCUAACUUCGUG
rnacentral:rRNA from 1 species